CUCACAAGGGGGAGAUUGGACUAUGAAAAAAGAUUACUGCUGCAGCUUGCAUUCCUGCUGCAAGGGCCUCCUCUUCAGACGGCCUUUGCCAGAGCAGAACUUUUCAAAAUGCUUCAAAUAGGAUCUUCUUUUUUUCUCCUUUAUUUAAGCCUUCUUCUUUUUUAAAAAAAAAUGGGACUAAUUUUUCUUGUUUUCUGUGCUGUGCUUGGCUGUACAGUAUAUUGCAAUGUUGAGGUUAAAGCUACAAGUAUUUCUACCACCACCCCCGCUGAUACAUUUUUUUUUCGGUCUUGGUUAAAGAAAUUGAUUUAUUUGACUGAGCAAUGAAUCAGGAUUUGCUAGUUUGUAUGCUGUGAGAAUGAUGGCUUUUAUUUGCAGUUUUUUUUCUGAGUGCCAAUUUCCUGUGCUGCUCAUGGAACCAGCCUCUUUCUUUCUGUAUAUUUUUUAAUUGCUUCAGGUAUCUGUGGUACAUGAACCAGGAUGGAUGAUAGCCCUCCAACCCCCUUGUAAUCUGACCGUGGCUGAAAUGGAAAUACUGCAGGGCUUUUUUGUCCUUGCAGGGUCCCUCCCCUCCCUUUCUUUCACUGUUUAGGAGGGAAAAGGGGUGUGCAGUAAAAUGCUGUCUCUGGGACAGGUGCCAGCUCCAAGACAAAAGGAAUAAAAUAGGCGGCAAACGGGGAAAAUUAAUAGUCAACAAAAAUAGGAAUUGGAAAUGUGUAAGUGGCAACAUUGGCAGAAGUGUUGUCGGCUACCCAGCCUUUCUGUUGAAUUUUAUCUGCAGAUAUUAAGCUAAAAGAAGAAAGUUUAGGCAUACUUUUUUAUUCAUCCUCUCUAUAGGCAUUUGAAAAGAUAAGGCUUUUUUUUUUUUUUUUUUUUUUUUUGGACUACUGAAUUAUUCAUAGUGUCAGUGGUGAAGCCAGGACUAUUAGCAUGCAUCAGACACGCUGUUUGUCUGUUUGCUAACAUUCUUCAUUCAAGACUUGUUAACUACCAGACAAGCUUAACAUGCUUCUCUUUUCCCCCUCCCUUUCUCUCUCUCUCUCUCUCUCUCUCUCUGUCUCUCUCUUUCUCUCUCUCUUCCUUUCAUGCCACCCCUUUAGUCUCCUAUUGUUGUUGCUGGGAGCUGGCAGCCAGGGGUAGUUGUGGCAGGGAAAGCAUGUGGAUGAGAAGCUGGAACCGGUUGCUAGGAGACUGCAGAACUGCAAGGUGAACACAUUGGCAUCCUCUCUCCAUAUCUGGUCCCUGAGGCUUGUUUCCCACCAUUCACAGGUAUGUCUGUCUCAGAUUGCACCCAAAAAGAUGCAGUAGUUAUUUGGCAAGAUGAAAUCAAGGCACACAAAGAAAAGGCUCCUGAGAAUCCAUUGAGAGGCUUUCAGGCCCUCAGAAGUUGUACCAACCAGAAUCCACUGUCAACUACCUUGGGCAUGUGCCUGCUCUGAUGUCACAGCUAACAAGAGGAAACUGAUUUUAUUUUAAAAACAGACUUUUCUACUUUAUUAAAGAUUUGUUAGAACAUUGAGCUCCAUUCAUCAAUAAUUUGGCUCCACUCUUGCCACCUUUUGCAAAGUAUCUGCAGGCCUCCUGGCACUUGGGAAUGAUGCUGGGCUGGCUACAUAGUGAAUACUGAAGGAGACCCCCUAUCAUGUUCUUACUGAAGGAAGUGUGACAUAGUGCGAAUCUGUGUCUAGCUAUCUAUGGAAAUUUCACUAAUAGAAAUUUAAAAAAAUGAAAGAAGUUCGACUGGUCUUCUGUACGGAGGAAUUGACAAGGUAAUAAUGGCAGUUGUGUAGACCAAAAAGACAACACCUCAUCACAUUCAUCACUGAGGCUGCAAAAUAAUCAUAUUAUUUCUCAUCUCUUCUGAAUUUUGGCCUUGUCCUGAUUUCUGAAAACUACCAUCUGAUCAUCCUCAUUUUCUACCAUUGAGAUCAUAGAAACACACGAAAGCGUGAGUUCGUUCUGCUGCUGUACUAUCGUCGUACUUGUCAUGCUUGGCAGCCAUGUUAUAUUUGGGCAGAAAUCCCAUCAGGACUAAUGCAACAAACCAACUAAGUAAGUAAGUAGAUGUAAAAAUGAUGCUAGAAAAACCAUAAAUGAUAAAUCCUAUAAAACAAAUAGCCCUUAAUAAAUUAAACAAUUUUACUUUAUAAAGAUUAAAGUGUCCCGUUAAAUUUUUAUUAGCUGAAUAAUAAAAAAAAGUAACAUUCAAAGGAGCCAUUGAUCAGUCCUGAUUAUUCGGUGGCUUUUUUUUUUCCUUCAGAAGCUCUGGGUAGUUCUUUCUGUGAGCAUGUUAAUUACUGUAUUGCAUAUUGGUUUACAACACCUAGAGCAUUAGAUAAGUGCCACAAAUUGAAAUAACUACAAUAAUUAAAUAAAAUUUAAGUGACUGCAGUUAUUCCACUUUACAUCAGUUGAGGAUCUGGCCCAGUGUUUAAGAAAAAGUGUUAUUUUGAAAUAUAAUUGGAUUGACUCUAUUUUAUUCAGGUUUUGAAGCACCUAACGCUCUAGACACUGUACACCAAUAGAACUAAAAGAGAUUUGUGUUAAAUAUUAACAUUGUUAUAGAUUGAACUGCCUACUGAAACCAUUGGAAAUAUUCCAGUUUACACUAACUGAGGAUCUGGCCCACUUCCUUUUUAACUGUUGAACUGCUUUAGACUUGGUAUUCAACAGUUUGAAAAGCAUCUUAUGAGCAGAGCUGUAUUUUUGGAUUCAUUAUGCUUCUUUUGUGAAAACAUAAGUUAGGUCCCAUUCCUACAAAGGGAUUCCAUUGACUUCAAUGUAACUCCAUAUGGGAGUUAGUGACCCUGUGCAAGUUCAGGCCAUAAUCAAAUUACAGUAUGUGAGAUCAUCGCAGAUGGUAUUAUUUAACUUAACAUAUUUCCAUAUUUUGACACCUUGUUGCCUUUAUAUUUAACACUGAUAUCAUGUUCAGAGCUUUUAGGACCAAUAAAGCCUCUGUUCUCCAUACGUAAAUUAUUCAAAGUUCAGAGUCACUUAGGGAACCACAGUAUUUGGUUUAACUUGUACAUGUUUCUAGAUAAUUUCAUAAUUGCUCCCCUUUUCCCAACUCCUUUCUACCAAAUUGAUAACUGGCAUUGAUUCACUAUCUUGAAGUGCACACAUAAAACUAACCUAUUAAACAGGACCAUGCAGCAAUACAUCUAAUAUCCUAUAUAAUUAUGAAAGCAAAUAACACUGGUCUAGUUGAUACGGGAGAGGUAUGUAAUGACAUACUUACCUUUUGAAAAAGGUGUCAGUAUGUAUGCUCUUUGGGCCAGAUUAACUCCUCAUGUAACUCUAGUUUUAUUAGUCAGAAUUACACAGAGGAUGAUUUUGGCUCCUUAAGUUUACUAGCAAAAAUAAAAUUAAGUAACUGAUUAAUGGACUUUCUGUCCCAUAUGAGCAGGUGGACUGCUUCUAAAACACUGUUCUGGUACAUAUUAGGGCCUGAUCCAAAAUGCAUUGACUUUAGUGGUUUUGAAUCUGAUCCUUAAUGCCAUGGGCAGCCAGACCUAGUAGUUGGAAUCAGAGUCCGCAGUUAUGAGUCUGCUGGGACAGGAUACUGGAGGGUCAGAGGCAGCAGCCAAACUGGAGAUCAGGAACUACAAGUCAGAUACCAGGAGUCAAGAUGGAUCAGGAAGCCAAUAGAUCAAGCUGAAGGAGCAGGCAGCAAAGGCACACAGUCUGCCACACAUCACCUCCAUAUUGGUGCACAUCACAAAAUUAAUUCCAGACAUGGAUGGGGAAAAAUAGAGGGUACAUUGAUGUAGACUCUUAAUAAAUGUAGGACUCAUGCCAGAGCAGUAAGCUGUGACCCCAUCAGAAGUGAUAUUAGCCAGGAGGCCAUGAAGACUGACUACGUUGUUUAUCCAAAGCCAGGUGGUUUCCUCUGUGGACAAUAAACCCAUGGGGGAAUGAAGUGAGACAUCUUAGAAAAGCAAUCUACCACUGUCAGGAUGAUCAUGAAACCACUGGACUCCAGUAGUUCUACCAUAGGGUCCAAGAAAAUGGCCUCUCAGGGCUAAGAUGUGGAUCUACAGAGAUGGGAGGAGACAACAGAGUUUCUGGUGGGGAUCUUGAUUCACGCAUACACCUGGCAGGAAGCUCUCAUGGGGCACAUACAGAGCCACCAGAAUAAAUUGGACAUUAAUCGUUGGGUUUUAUAUCACCCAAGUAUCCUGCCAGGGUGCAGUCAUGACAUAGUUGAAGAAUCACCUCUCUUACCAACUCUUGGAGGAACAUAGAUCUGGUCCCUUAUGAACAUGAUCCUCUCCUAGGUGUUGUGUGGUUCUUGGUUGAAAAUGGCCAACUUGUGGGGUGGAAUUCUGGAGACAGAGGCAAAGUGGAUGAGCGUGAGCAGGUCCCUGAGGUGAGGAAAUUAUGAGACUUGAGAAUGUGGGCUGGUUCUGAACUGGGCCUUUGUGGAUCAGAGCCAUAUCUUCUGGACAAGGCAUCAGUCUUGCCAUAUCUAGUUCCAGGGUAAUAGGUCAGGGUAAAAUUGAACAGUGAGAAGAAUAGGGCCCACUGGAGCUGUUGUUGGUUUAGGGCCUUGACUUGGUUACUCCAGGUUCUUAUAAUCAGUAAACACUUUGACCAGAUGAUGGGACCCUUCCAAGUACUGUCGCCACUCUUUGAAGGCAGUCAGUUGCUGGGAGCUCCUCAUCCAAGAUCUCGUCAUUUUGCUCAGCACGGUAAGCCUCCUUGAGUAGUAGUUGAUAGGGUGCAGUAUUUGCUCAGAUCUGUGCUUUGGGAAAGGAAGACCCCAUCACCAUAACGGGAGGUGUUGGCUUCCACAACGAAAGCUUGCAUCAUAUCUGUGGGCCAGUUCUGGUGGCAGUGGUGGAUCUAUGCUUCUUACACCAGACUCAGUCCUUCAGGAUUACUGUGGCCCAAACAAGCUGUCAUGGCCAGGUUAUGGGCAACCAGACCUUGGAGUCUGAGUCUGCAGUCACAAGACAGAAGCUGAAUGUAAGCUGGAUCAGGAUACUGGCAGGUCAGAAGCAGGAGACAGACUGGAGAUCAGGAACCACAAGUCAGAUGUCAGGGGUAGAGCUGAGAUGGUAUGCCAGGAAAUCAAUUUGAAGGAGCAGAGUGGAGCCCAGUUGUUCAGACAACUUCCUGUUCCUGCUGCUGUCUUAAGUAGGGCCAGUGGGCCAAUCAGCUUCUCCAAACCUCUGCCAAUUGGACCUCAGGGUGGAGCCUCACACUGGGACUGGGCUUUGUGAGUUCCAGGUAAGCCAUUGUCAGCAGGCCACCAAAUGGAAGGUUGGAGUGGGGCUGCUCCCAUGAAUCCUGCAGGCCUGGGUUCACGACCCAGCAGUCAUGACAACAUCCCAGUACAGCAGAACACUUAAUCCCAAGCAAGUGUUUUACUGUAUUGGAGCCAAAACUACAAAGCUACACAAGACACUUGAAAGAUUCCCAUUGAUUUCAGUGGAGUUUGGAUGAAGUCCCCACCAUAGUCAAUGUUUCUUAUUCAUGAAAACUCCCAGUGAAGUCAGUGGGAGUUUUCUAAGUGAGGAAAGUGAAUAGGCUCUUAGCCAGCAGAAUUGUGUUCCUGUGUUUUCUAGUCCAAAACAAUUUCAUACAUACUUUAGGAUGAGACAUAAAACUUAAUGUCCGGAUCCCAAAGCAUUUUCCUCAGAGUAGGAAUGUUAAACUUGGUGCUCUGGUCAAAUCUCAUUGUGUCUACCUAAUCCUUCCUACAAUUUCAGUUGGAUGUGAUAUCCUUUUUUGCCACCUACCCUAAACUGUUAUGUAGUGUCCCAUAUCCCGUUAAACAACUGCUAUUUGCCACUCCAGAAGUAGCUGCAUUUCAGUGGUGAAUGAAGUAAUCUCUAUAGAUCCAUUGCUCACCUCACAGGUGUUUCACGUGGCUUAUUAAACCAUGUUUGUGAAGCACUUUUUGCUCCUCAUAGGAUAAGAGUGGGAUGUGUUUUUCUAUUAUUAUACUCAUUUAAAAAUAUUUACAAGAAACUGGGUGAAUUUGCUGUGGGUGAAGUUUGCCAGAUUGACAACUCAGGUAGCCUCUCUACAUCAAAUCACUCCCACGUGGAAGCUUUAAAAAAGUCUUCCUCACAUUGUCGUUCCAUUCUGCCUCAGCCCUGUUCUGAAGGGACCACUUAGGGGAAGAUAGCAGUAGGGUGACGAGAUGUCCCGAUUUUAUAGGAACAGUCCCGAUUUUUGGAUCUUUUUCUUAUAUAGGCUCCUAUUACCCCCCACCCCUUGUCCCGAUUUUUCACACUUGCUGUCUGGUCACCCAAGAUAGCAGUUUAGUGUCUCAUCUAGGUCCUGAUCCAAAGCCAGUGGGAAACCUUCAACUGACUUCAACAAGCACUGGAUCAGACCCUCAGUCCUUUGCCUCUCUGCCAAAAUUGCCAAUAAAGGAUUUGAAUUGGUGCCAUGUGUGAUGGCAACUAAAUACACACGUAACACACAUUGAAUCUAUUUCCCCAUGUUAAGUAUCCUCACACCUUCAUGUCAAACUGUCUGAAAUGGGCCAUCUUGA